rnacentral:lncRNA from 1 species
GUGUAUUGGGGAACCAGAAACAAACCAAUAAAAUAAAGACAUGGAAAGGCUACUGUGAGAAUAGAAAGGAGCAACUGGGGCACUGAAACAAAAACAACCUGCACAGAAAUUAAAUUGAGCCAGAACGUAAAGAACUGAAGGAAGUCUCUGAUACAGAGAAGAGAGAAAGUACAUUUAGGCCAAAAGAAUCAUCACAGGGGAUGAACUAACCUUCUGGUUCCAGGAGAAAGACGAGGGACUUGGAAACUGAAUUGUCCCAUCCACUGACAAAUAAGUGGUGCAGACCCCGGACACAGAGCUGAUACACAGGACGUCACUGGGAGAAACAGAGAAAGAGUGUG